CUAGUAUUUUUAUAUCUUUCCGCCUAAAUUUCCUUUACCCUCCCAAAAUCCAAAUUACUUCUCAUUUCCAAUCCCCAGUUAAUAAAAAACACAAAUACACAGAGCUUUAUCCUUCAGUUGAAAACCCUAGCGCCUACCACUACCAUCUUCACAACAGCUCGAAUCAUCUUCAGGUUUCACUACCAUGUGGAAACCAUACCAAGGAGAUGCUAAACCCUUUUCCAACUCGGUCACCGUCAGCUACCUUUUCGGAAUUAAGCCCGGGAUGAAAGGCUCAUUGAUGGUCAUCGGAGGCUUGAUCGGAUUUAUUUGUACCGGAACUCCAGUUGACGUUUGAUGGGUUUCUUCCCCAACUAUGGGUUUUGUUUCGUGGGAAAACGACUCGAAAUUUUGACAACAUCAACGACUAUGAAAAUUUCACCGACAGCUAUUGACUUAGAAGUAAACUCGGUCUUCCUUCCUUCUUUCAUCACCAUAUUUAACGUUAACACCCUCUCUACUAUGCACAAUCAACCCUUCAAGACGCAUUUUCAGCUGUUUACAGGAGGAUUUUUAUAGAAACCACAAGAAGAUUAACUGAUUUAAGGGAAAGACACCGGAGCAAUAAUGGCAGUGGCAUCAGCGUCUAUGUUAGUAGCAUUGAAGACUUUCUUCAUUGUAUCGGCAUGGGUAAUGGCAUAUGUGCUUGUUUACUCAUUUGCUGCGGAUGGCCAAGUCUCUUGUUUCCAGCCAAGCAAAUGGUGGAUGCAAGUGGCAGAGUAUGAUUAUAUUGUGAUUAUACUUCCUAUAAUGGUAAGCAAGUUUAUUUAAAAUUUUCAAGGCUAAGUUAUUGUUUGUUUGAUAUUUAAGUAUUCCCUAAAGAUAAUAGCCCCUAUUUAUACUAACAAAACUACCUUUUAAAGCUACAUGUCGGAUCGUGUCGUUGUUUUACACAAGUACCGAAAUAACAUGCUAAUCCGAUGUCACUUUAUUUGCGUUGUUUUUAUACUAUAACUCGUUAGAGCAGCGUUAUAUUUUGUUUGGAAUGCACAUGUUUCUGUUUUAGUUUUCUAGCUAAUUCAUAUUGAAUGGUUAUAUACUGGUAAUCUUUAGGCGUUUUUCUACAAGGAAUCAAGCUGGAUCAAGAGAAUUGUUUUUUUAAUUAUAUAAUUUUUUUGUGACAGCUUUGUUAACUGUGGAUACAUUGCUAUGCUGUUCCACUAAUUGUCACCUGAAGAGUCUAUGAAAGAUCCAUUAUACGUUGUGCUAGCGAGAUGUCAAAACCGGGUUGUGUUGAUCGACCUGUUCGGGUUGAUAUGUGAUGAUUACGGUUUUAUAAUUUUCAGCUUCAAAAAGUUCAGGCGGAACUAGAAAGAGAGUGUGAGGCUCGACAAAACAUAGAAGCCCGUUUCGAACUAUUUCAACAAGAGCGUGAAAAAGAGCGAGCCGACCAAGACGCAUGGCGAAAAAAUAUGGAAGAAAUGGUGAAAAACAUCGGAAAGAAGUAAACAAAGCUCUCGUUUUGUUAAGUAUUGGAAUGUUGGAUUAGUUUUGAAUCAAAAAACUUGCUCUUAAUUAGGAUUU